GUUUUUACAGAGCAUAAGGUGCAGUAUAGAAUUAACAUUCUCAUUAUUUUAAUUAUAUCCACACUAUAACUACUUCUACUUCAAUUAAUAUUUUUAUUACAUAUUCCCUAUCAUAACCUGUGACCACGGCAUAUAGGAAUUACAGACACUAACUCUAAGGCAUGUAAGGGAAGACAAUCAAGGAUACAGGGCUGCAGCACCAGUGUAAAACCUCUAAAAGAUUAAAGCCUGACCGAACCUUUACUUAGGCCACGUCUGGGACAUUGUAACACCAAUUGAAGCACCUCUAUUCACACUUUCAACAGCACGUAAAUUCAUUAGAAAAUCCCAGCAACAGGAACAGCAUCGAGGAUGGAAAAGCAAAACAUUUGCCUGGCAAGCUUCCAAGUAUUCCUCCAACAGGCACAAGCAGGAUGUAUGUUUUGGAUUGUGCCAGUACCACUAAGAACAUCACAAAGCAAAGAUAAUUUGGAAAAACAAAAAAAGAUCUAAGAACAUUCAUCAUCAUCAAGACAUUGGCCUGCAAAUAUCUCAUGGCAUUUUUAAGCGGCUUAAAUUCUCUUUAUAUACAUACAACGGUGACUAUGCACUCCAAAAACAGAAAAGCUAACAAGUAAAAAAGGAAAAUUAUUAGUAAAUCCUCUGUGGGUUAUGAACAGAUGCAAAUUGAGCUCCCCUAUAAAGCCCAUGGAAGAUCAUCAUACAUGAUCAGGUACAUCUACCACAUCCAGGUGGUGCACAGCAAUAUACAAACAAUGAGUCACCAUGGGCCUAUUUAUCUGAGAAGCCCCCAAAAAGGAGCAGUGAAGUAUUCACAUUGUGCCUUUCAGGCAAGAGCUGCUCCGUUUUUGAGACAGGUUUGACAGUUUGUUCCUCGUCUGGGAAUGGGAAUGAAAGAGAAAGGGAAAGGGAAGCAGAGACACCAUCCUCCUCUUCCUUAUCUGUCACAUUAUCUGGAGUCUUCUUCUGGCUAUUAUUUUUCUCUACCAUUCCAACAAAGAAAGGCAGGAUUCCUUUAUUUGGGGUUUUUGCCUCAGCCCCUAAAGCCAGCUCAAGAUUUGGGACCUCAUCAUGGAAUUCGUCCUCAUCAUUUGAUGAGUAUUCUUUCCAGGGCAUGGAGUUGUCCCCCAAUCGAAAAUCUUUUACACGACGUGAAUCCACAGGAAAGAAGUACCUUUCAGUAGUUCCCAUAUCUUCCAGGAUAACUUUUUCAUCAGCAGCUUUGUCACAGCUUCUUUCCUCAAUUGAGGAACUGGAACCCAAAUCACAUAUCUGUGAAGCAAAACCAUCACUCAAUGAAUUUCCCUCUCUUGCACUGCUACACCCAUAUAGUUCACAGAAGCCAGUCUUCAGCUUUUUGAUACUCUCUCCGUCUACAAUAUCCCAUGGCAUUUUUUGACCAGUGCUACUAGAAGUCCGAGGGGCGGUCUCCGAAAGAUCCAAGUAAGACCGUUUUCUGCUAUUUGACUGCCAGUCAAGGCCUUUAUUUAAGUCUCUACCUGAGGAAGCUUCUGCAUCCAUCAUCAGGGAAUUUUCAUUCAGGUUCCUCUCAACUUUAACUUCAUCUCUAUGAGUGUCCAUUCUAUCCACCAUUUUCUCCUCAACAACACUCUCCCUGACAUCUUCACCUUUAUCACCAACCUGGAAAACCUUGAAAGAUGAUGAGUUUUCUCUGACACAUGAAGCAUCAACAUGUGAUUGUGUCUCCUCUCUGCUUUUAGAACCAGUACUGAUUCCAGUUGCCUGAGUAGACGGCUUAUGUUCUGUAUCCACCCUGCACUCUGGAAGAGUUGCUGCUUCCUGGUAAAAGAAUGGCAAGCAUUGUAAAGAAGAUAACAAGGACUAUUGAAGCUUCAAAUAACAAGGACUAUCGAAGUCAAUAUACAUCAACAGAUAGCUACACAACAAGAGAGUGAAUAAAAGAAGAUAAAAGAAUAAUUUUAGGAACCAUCUCCAAAAGAGAGAAUUAUUUUCGGUUUAACUUUUUCCUCCUUUUUGAUGCUAUAUUGAGCAUCAUGAUGAGCUAACACCAUAAUGUACAUCAGUACAUGUAAAUAUAUUAAUACAUAAAUGCAAGGCUUACAAUCAACAGGAAAAAGAAUAGCUGGCAAAAAGCAACAAAUUGGCAGGAAUUAACCAACACAAUCAGUGAAGGCAUAAAUAAACAAAAAUGAGACUUGAAAAUAGUUAAUGAGGAUUGUGAUAGCCUAGAAGGCAAGAAUCCAUACAACUAGCCCUUUCAGGGCCUUCCUUGGGCGUAAGAUCUCUAAUUUGGCUUCAGAAUCAUCUAUUAAAAAGAAAUAAUAAGAAGUGCUUGAGCUUAUACUCAUUAGAGACCUCAAGGGUCUUAGAGCUGGAGUAUAGCCCUAGUUUAAAAAGGAAACUCUCAUUUUGUUGAGGGAGAGACUAUUGGGUUUAUAUUGGAUGACCCAAGAACUACCUUAUGAUCACCAUUUUAUCUUUUCACGCUACUAUCAUAAACAAUAGAACUAUCAUCAAAUUCACUCACCCACCCCUGCCCCCUAUCUUAGGUGUUCUUUGAAGAGGCCUUCAGUGUACAGUGAACAUUAAAAUGGUCAUUAUACUCAAGAAGAUUGUGUCUUGCUCCAUGUCUGCCCAAAGCUAAUAAAGGUAAUAAGGUGAGUUAUUAUCCAAUUUCACCUAGUGUUAAAAAAGAAAGAUAUUUACAUCAACAAUAAUAAACACAUAAAUUAGUAAAUAGCAUCAGAGGAGUCGUCAAACAGAAAUCUCAUCCCAUCAAGCAUGCAAUUGAAAAAAUAUAAUAAAAGGUUAUGUUAUAACUCAGCAUAUUGUGUCAUUACUCAUUAUGAGUUAUGACACUCCCUUCGUAUAUGAUUCCCCUAUGAUUUUGAGCACUACAGGGUCCACCAACUCCCUUUCUCUCAUGUACUCCAACGCUCAAUUGCUCAUCUAAAGAAGCAAGAACAAUAUGAAUUUGAAUUCUCAUGCAAUCACUUCCAUUCAACAUUUAAUGCCAGCCCUUUAAAGUAAGUGCCUGAAUACUAGCUUAUUCUUUAGCCAGACAAGCACUUCAAAGCUGACCUUUGGGGUUCCAGUUACUUGAGAAAUACCAUACCUACUCCACCUGCUCAUGGCCCAUAACUAAAAGAAAAGGAUUUCAAAUAGCAAGGACAGGUAAGAGCUAUAUUUGAUUAGGUAUUACCAACAAGAGCAAAAAUGAAUUAUUUAGGUUCUUACCGAAAAGGCAUAGAUUGAAAGAUGAAUCAUUUAAAAAAGUAUUAAUUAAAUAAGAAAGUCACUAGGUUCCAAAAAGUAACCAAAAGGUUGUACUAGACAUGCCUCAUUUUCAAAUUUCAUUAAAUGCAUCUGGCAUUAUAUUGCUCCUGGUAAUUUUCAGCCAUAAUGGUUGUUAUUCUUUGCAGGAAGUAACUAUUAAAGCAAUAUCAACAUUUUAAUCAAAACAUAAAUACAGUAGAGGGACCAGAAAUUCUGUGCAGUGGAAUGCCAAUGACAAUAUAGAAAAGCACAAUCCAUAAAAUUGAGAUGCAUGAAAAAAUUAUGUAGAAAACUCCCAAUAAUUAGACGUCAGCCACAAGCCCACUUCACACUAAAGUUAUAACUACUUUAAAGCUGUAAUAUCAAGACUAAAAUAUUUUCUCAACAGCAUUCAAGUUAUUAAUGCCACAUAAUGAUGAUGAUGAUGACGCUGAUGAUACAAAGAGUACAUAAAAAGUUAAAUACUUUAUGGCAUUACCAUAAAU
rnacentral:misc_RNA from 1 species